rnacentral:misc_RNA from 1 species
GUAAAUGCCGAGUAGCGUGAUCAAGAUGGUCCAAAAUGGGACACGCAAGUAGGGUAGUUUGUUGUGUUUCUCUUUCCUAUUUCAGCUCUGUGCAGCAAUGAUAUUCUGUCAGGCUCGAUAGCUCCUUCGCUGUUUGAAUGUUGGAUUCUCUUUCAUUGCAAAGAUUCAAUCAAAAGAAAAGGAGCUCAGGGGGAAAAUGGGGCUGCAAUAAUGAUUUACAAAUUCUGCACAAUAUCAAUUUGAGAAAUUCUAUUAUUAGCUGACCCUUGUUAUUGCUAAAAAUAAUGCAGCGAAACCCAUUGAUUAAUAAUU